CUACGGGGGGCACCAGUCGAGGAAAUUUUACAAUGCUCGAAAGAGUGAUAGAAUGAGUCAGAGUGUUUCUCUUAGAGAAACUUUUUUCUGUUGUAAAAAGACAGAAGAAUAAGGACUGGGAAAGACCGGUGCCAGCCGCCGCGGUAAUACCGGCGGUCCGAGUCGCAUCCACAUUUAUUGGGUCUAAAACAUCCGUAGCUUGUUUUAUAAGUCUCUUGUGAAAUCUGAUAUCUCAAAUAUCAGGCGUGCAAGAGAUACUAUAUUGCUAGAGACCGGAAGGCGCAAAGAGUAUGGUUAAGGUAGCGGUAAAAUGUGUUAAUCUUAAUUAGACUAACAAUUAGCGAAGGCACUUUGCGAGUACGGAUCUGACAGUGAGGGAUGAAGGCUAGGGGCGCAAAAGGGAUUAGAUACCCCCGUAGUC
rnacentral:rRNA from 1 species